rnacentral:rRNA from 1 species
AACGUAGGAGACAAACGUUAUCCGGAGUUACUGGGCGUAAAGGGCGUGUAGGCGGUUUGUUAAGUCUGGCGUGAAAGCUCUCGGCUAAACCGGGAGAGGUCGUUGGAUACUGGCAAACUAGAGGACGGUAGAGGCGUGUGGAAUUCCGGGUGUAGUGGUGAAAUGCGUAGAGAUCCGGAGGAACACCAGUGGCGAAGGCGACACGCUGGCCGUACCG